UUCAGUUUUCUUUGUUCUCCAACACGUUCGUUUUGUUAAUUUACUGGCAGACAAAGUACAUGCAAGCACGACCUAAUUACAAGCGCUAUGUUCCACGUUUUGACCAAAUCAUCAAUACCGUUCACUGCUUUAUGUAUGAAGGAACGCCAAAUCCUUAGUCUCAUGAGCAGCAAAGUAGUACCAAACAAGUCCAGACCAUCAUAAGUAAGACCACGCAAAGUCUAGAAUAAUUAUAUAUUUUCUAGUUUGUAAAGUAAUUCACCGAGCUUAUAAUACGAGAUUUAAUUUGAACUGGUUCUUUAGAUUUUUUCAAUUUUGUUUUUCAGUACGAAAGUUCUUUUAAGUCGUUGCCAUUUUCCCCAUAAUUCCGGAAAUUUAUAGUUUCUAGCAGUUGGACAACCGACCAUUUGUCAAGUUCAUUAAUACCAUUCGCUAGCUACGUAUACCAACUACCAUAGCUUGUUGAAAGUUGUAACAUUACCAUUCAUCAUACAUACGACACACUGUGAUCAAGAUCAUAAAAUCCACACAUAUAUUUUCAACAAAUACUGAUAUCACGCAUUAUGCUGUACGCAUCACAAGUGGUACAUAAGAGCGUGGGAUACAAGGACGGUUUGUCAAAUGUGUAUAUUUUCAACAAUGAGAAAACUGUACAAUUUUUGUCCACGUAAACGACUCACGGUCUUUCUAGAUGGUAUUAAUGAUGUUACUUUUAGCUUUCCAAUAUAAUGUUUUCAAGUUAUGCUGUAUAUUGUUUGUCUUUCACAAAUCAUCGAUUUUUCCAAAUAUACCAACUGAAACUAGCUUGUCGGAAAUUGCUUUGGCAUUAUUCCCGUAUAUCAGUCACAUUGUGAUCAGGAGUUUGAAAUCCAUUUGUUUUUUAGUCCUAUUCAACCGGUGCAUAAUAAUGGCACGAUAUAGAAACUGUUCCUAAAGGCGUAGAUUAUCAACGAUAUAAACACUACACGAUUUUUGUUAUUGGCUAAACGACUCACGAUCUUUCGAAUUGCUCAUUAAUUUCCUUUUGACUUUACUGCAGUACGACGUCUUCAAGUAACCAUGUUCAUUGUCGGUAUUCCACAUUAAUCAUCGGUAUUUCAGCAUAAACAAACCGCAACAAGCUUGUGGAAGACACCAUUACCAUUAUUCCCGUAUAUCAGUCACCUUAUCAGAUCAGAAAUUUUCAAAUCCACUGAGUCACCAACAUAUAUAUAAAUCGCGUAUCAUGAUAAGUGAUGAAACUGUAACAUAUUCAGCAACGGUUCGUAAAAGCCGACGUAUACUUUCAGCGAUGACAACAUAACGUCCAAGUAAAUCACUCACUACUCUUUCGAGAUAGUCGCAAUAUUUCCUGUGGUUUUACAGUACAAUGUUUCUAAGUCAAAUCCAUAUGUUUAUCCCAGUCUUGAAAGCUUCAUCGAACUUCGCAAUGGACGUUUGCCCACACUGGCAAAGCAACAAGUUAUAACAAUAUUUU